GUUUGGCCACGCGAGACUACUUAUGACACUCAACCCGCUGGAAUCAGGGCGCUAUAUUGCGUCUGCUUCAAGCCAUGUGCAUAUUGCUGCUGAUGCUGUCAAAAACGUGGCCGAGAUGAUAGCAGACUCUUUCUCUAAGAAAGAAUCUAACGUUGCUAACUGGAAGGAGCAUAAACUCCAUCCUCAAGAAAUGACAGAUGAAACUGCUGAUUGGAUAUUUGUCAUUGAUCUACUGAAUUUCUCAUUCUGGUCUGACGAUCCAGAUCAAGACUUUACAAUCGAAUAUGGAGGAAGCUUACAUGUUGACUACUGGGCUCUCUGUGCAGUCAUUAGGAGGGCUAUUGAGGAGGAUAUUCAGAUGGCAUCGCCUGCGUUUUACAAAGACAUUAGUAUGGAUAAGAUGAAACACGUGUUUCGGUCUUCAAACAGUGUGGACAUUCCACUAUUGGAAGUGCGACAUAUGCUUCUUAAUGAAGCAGGACAGACUUUAGUUGAUAAAUUUGGUGGCUCAUUUGCAAAUUGCAUUCGACUAUGUAAUGAGAGUGCUCAGACUUUGAUAAAGAUGAUAGUUAGUAAUUUUGCAUCGUUUCAAGAUACAGCUGUGUACAAGGGUAAAACAGUGUCAUUUUACAAAAGAGCUCAAAUUCUUGUUGCUGAUAUCUGGGCUUGCUUUGAGGGCAAUGGUCUGGGUAGGUUUGAAGAUAUUUCAUCACUCACCAUGUUUGCAGAUUACAGAGUUCCACAAAUGUUAAGAUAUUUGGGAGUUUUUGAGUAUUCAGAAGAACUUCUUGAGUGUCUUCAGCAAGCUUCCAUCCGGCAAAUAGUUUCACUUGGCUUCCAUCCACCAGAUAGUUGGCUUCAUUUAUUUUACUCUAAUGAAGUCAGGGACCAGUGCAUGAGAUCAAACUGAGAUGGGUUGUUCCUGACAGGAAUUGUGUUGUCCAGUGGGGACGAGAAGGAAGUCGAAAUCCGUGGUUGUUCCAUUUGGGCAGUAGAGAUGAUACGUCAAAUUGUGGAAGACAAACAGUCUAGCAAAAUCAACAUCAACUCUCUCUUGAUUGACUACUAUU